rnacentral:tRNA from 1 species
AGAAACUUAGGUUAGACAAAACCAAGAGCCUUCAAAGCCCUAAACAGAGGAAAACACCCCCUAGUUUCUG